UUUUUAUUGAGAGUUUGAUCCUGGCUCAGGACGAACGCUGGCGGUAUGCUUAACACAUGCAAGUCGAACGAGACGAGAUGGAAUGACCCUUCGGGGGAAUGAAAUCUUAGAAAGUGGCGAACGGGUGAGUAACGCGUGGGUAACCUGCCCUAUGGAAAGGAAUAGCCUCGGGAAACUGGGAGUAAUGCCUUAUAAUACAGUGAAGUCGCAUGGCUUUGCUGUUAAACGCUCCGGUGCCAUAGGAUGGACCCGCGUCCCA
rnacentral:rRNA from 1 species